CAUCUUCCUUUGAGGAUCCUAUUCGGAGUGAACCGGAGUGAACGGUUCGUUCGUGAUGUUUCAGAGACAAGCCUUGGUUUUCCUUUGGUGUCCCCUCGGUCUCCUCAGGCGAGCGUGAUGUAUGGUGCAGUGAUGUGGCGGUCCCCCCCUCGCCUCUGUCACACUGCUGACAGGUCUGUCCCGACUACGAGCAGAUUGAAUUGCAAAUCUCCUGCCUUCUGUUGGCGUCCGAGGAUGAACUGGCCCUUUGCAGCCGGCCAUUCAUGUGCUAAUGUGAGGGGCAAGGGGGGCCCCGGGGCCACAGAGAGUCACAUGAGGGGACACUUCGGACUGACUUCCAAAAAAUACUAUUUAUCAGAUUGAAUUUGGACUAUCAGACUGGUAUGUGUACACUUCACUACAUAUGUUGUUAACAUAUAACCCUGAUUAACCAAACUGAUGGCAGACAUGUUUAGAAAUCCUGGCUUCUGUUGUGUUUUCUUUAAAAGCACAGGUGUUAACUUUGCAGGCUGCACAUAAGUCAUGACUGACAGUGACAUGAGUUCAGUGGUGUGUAUGUGUGUGUGUGUGUGCAUGUGUGUGUGUGAUUGUGUGUAAUUGUGGAUGCGGCAUGAGCUUUAGAUUUAGAUGACAAAGUGUUAAAGCACCAAGACAUGUAAUCCAGUCACUUUACAUGUACUUAUCCAUUCAGCACAUGGCAGGCUGUUCCUCUGCUGUCACCAACAGAUCCGUCUGUAAAUAAAUCCACAACAAAAUA